rnacentral:rRNA from 1 species
CAGUCGCCGCGGUAAUACGAAGGGGGCUAGCGUUGCUCGGAAUUACUGGGCGUAAAGGGAGCGUAGGCGGGUCGUUUAGUCAGAGGUGAAAUCCCGGGGCUCAACCUCGGAACUGCCUUUGAUACUGGCGACCUUGAGUAUGGGAGAGGUGAGUGGAACUCCGAGUGUAGAGGUGAAAUUCGUAGAUAUUCGGAAGAACACCAGUGGCGAAGGCGACUCACUGGCCCAUUACUGACGCUGAGGCUCGAAAGCGUGGGGAGCAAACAGGAUUAGAUACCCCCGUAGUCCCUGUCUCUUAUAA